AUCUUUCUAGUACAAGGCAAGUAUUGGUGACUUCCACUCACUAGAUCUUGGUUAAAAUCCAAGGAAAGAUA
rnacentral:tRNA from 1 species